rnacentral:rRNA from 1 species
GAUGAACGCUAGCGGCAGGCUUAAUACAUGCAAGUCGUGGGGCAGCAUGGGUGUAGCAAUACAUCUGAUGGCGACCGGCAAACGGGUGCGGAACACGUACACAACCUUCCUUUUAGUGGAGAAUAGCCCAGGGAAACUUGGAUUAAUACUCCGUAACAUAUAGAAGUGGCAUCACUUUUAUAUUAUAGCAGCAAUGCGCUAGAAGAUGGGUGUGCGGCUGAUUAGAUAGUUGGCGGGGUAACGGCCCACCAAGUCGACGAUCAGUAACUGGUGUGAGAGCACGACCAGUCACACGGGCACUGAGACACGGGCCCGACUCCUACGGGAGGCAGCAGUAAGGAAUAUUGGUCAAUGGACGCAAGUCUGAACCAGCCAUGCCGCGUGGAGGAUGAAGGUCCUCUGGAUUGUAAACUUCUUUUAUCUGGGAAGAAAUCCAUUUUUUCUAAAAUGGUUGACGGUACCAGAUGAAUAAGCACCGGCUAACUCCGUGC